AUGACUAAAGAUAACUUACUUAAAAGACAUAUUGAUAAAGGCAAAGAAUGCCUCUUCUGCGCAUGUGAUGAAAGCAUCACUCACCUAUUCGUUGAUUGUGUGGUAGCCUCUGCUAUCUGGAACACCGUGCAAAGUUUCUUUAAGAAACCAGACACCCUUGCUUAUGAGUCUGUAGCGAAACUAUGGGUUUCUAAUAAGAAACAUUUAGUUUUAAACAUGAUUAAUGCUGCAGUUCUUUGGUGCAUCUAGAAAUAUAGAAACGGCAUGAUUUUUGAUUUUCUUUCCUGGACUGAUAUCAAACAGAUAGGGUGGAGGAUCCUGAAGACACCAAGAUCAUGGAUGAUUCUUCUGCCGGCUCAACAAAAGGGGGUGCUGGAGGCCUUCUUAACUCACCUGCUGCUUUUCCUCAAGCAACCCCUGAGGAUAAAAAGUGGGCAACCUCACUAG
rnacentral:rRNA from 1 species